CUUGGAAGUGGUAUGGAAAUCUAACCCAGUAUGUCUGUUUUGACUUGGAUCAAUUGCAUUUUGGAGGAAUUCUUUGUUGGGUAGUGAGGUGUAUAAGAUGUCAGAGAGUGAAAAAAAAAAAGGGGGGGGUGUCUGUUGUAACUGAAGAGAGGUGUGGUCUGCCCCCAUGAAAGGACGAGAUAGUAGAUUCGCCAAGAAUUAAUGUAAGCUUGUGCCCUUUAGAAGCUGCCUGACUAUUUUCUCUGCGGACCUAAGUGUGAGUAGGAGAAAGCACAACCUGUGGGUUUGGGCCCAAGCAGUCCCCGACUGCAUCUAAUCCUUGAGGUAACAGUAGCCCUAAACGUCUGGUAAUCCUAGAGCAGGUACAUGUAUGCACUAAGUGGUGUGAUCGAAGGAAAGAUAGCAAUCACAAAGAUUCGUUUGAUUCUCAGUAAUCCACACCAAGUCACAGAAAACAGCCAGUGUGUGUGGAUGGGGGUGGGGAGAUGAGGUCUUUAAUGAACUUGCUAAUUCUAGCUGGGCCCUCCCAAUCAUCCUGAGAGCAGCCAGUAUCAAAACCCAGUGGCUGUGCAUUAAUUCCCUGGAAUAAAGCUUUGCUGUCGGGGAAGUUCAAAACAGUGCUUUGUGUUUGACCAAAAGAAAAAAAAAAGAAGAAAAAGAAAGUUCGAGAAGUACUGGGAAACUCGAGCAAACCCAGAAACAGGGUGCCACUGGCCGCCUGCUUGUGGGUGCAGACUAGGCCUCUGGGCAGGGUAGGCAAUCGCCGCGCGGCCGGGGGACGGGAUGUCCCGUGGUGGGCUGCAGCGGGACGGCCGUCCUCAGGACCGCAGAGCCCCCCGUGUUCGGGCCGCAGGCCCCCGAGCCGUGGCCCCACUCGGGGAGGCUUCCGCAAGCACGGGCCGCGCGUCUCAACGGCUCGGGGCGGGAGCGUGGAGCGGGAGGGGGGGGCGGGCCUGCGGGAGCCGCCCGGGCCCGAGGACGCAGCGGUGGCUGCGGCGGAGCCAGGUCCCGGGCGCGCGCGCCGCGGCUCGGGCGUGGGGCCGGCUCGGGGCAGACGCAGGCACACAGACACCAUAGAGCUCCGCUUUCCCGUAGCAGCUGCUGCCGCUGCCGCUGCCUCUCCCGCCUCAGCCUCUCGGCCCGGCAAACACACACAUUCAGAUUUGCGCGCUGUUUCAAUCCUCGGUGACGUGUCCUCGCGGACAGCCAAUGGCGCGCGGGCUCUGGUCAGGACAAUGGGAGGGAACGGACCAAUGAGCGAGCCCCGUGAGUUGGCGGUAGCCAAUAGGAGGCGCGCUGGCUGGAGAGUAAUGUUACAGAGCGGAGAGAGUGAGGAGGCUGCGUCUGGCUCCCGCUCUCACAGCCAUUGCAGUACAUUGAGCUCCAUAGAGACAGCGCCGGGGCAAGCGCGAGCCGGACGGGCACUGGGCGACUCUGUGCCUCGCGGACGUGUUUUCUUUUAG
rnacentral:lncRNA from 1 species